rnacentral:rRNA from 1 species
UACAGAGGGGGCGAGCGUUAUUCGGAAUUAUUGGGCGUAAAGGGCGCGUAGGCGGCUUUGCAAGUGACGGGUGAAAGCCCUCGGCUUAACCGAGGAACUGCCUGUCAGACUGUGAGGCUUGAGACCGGGAGAGGUGAGUGGAAUUCCCAGUGUAGCGGUGAAAUGCGCAGAUAUCAGGAAGAACACCUAUGGCGAAGGCAGCUCUCUGGGACGGUACUGACGCUGAGACGCGAAAGCGUGGGGAGCGAACAGG